UGCCGGUGUCUGCUCCUGAGGUUGAAUCGGUGUAUGGUUUCCUGCAGCGUCUGGGUCUUGACAAAUAUUUAAUGAUAUUCGAAAAUGAGGAAAUUGAUAUGGCCGCUCUGGUACACAUAACUAAUGAUGAUCUCAAGGCUUUAGGAUUACCAGAGCUUGCAAGAAAAAAUAUAUUUUCGGCAUUGGAGACUGAGGUUCAACAUGUGGGAGCUUAAUUAGGGGUUCCUUUGCUUGUUUGUGUGGAGUUCAUUGUUUUGGAGUAACAAUAUUUCAGCAGGCCUGUGUUUUAACUCGUGCUACUUUGCUUCAACUUUUUUGGGAUUAAAUUAUCUGUAAUAUUGCUGCAAGUUGUUUCAGUGAGCCUAUCAUUUGUGAGGUCAUUAGAAGACUGAUAGCAUCAAGUUGUUUUUGUGAGUCAUUCGAGAGAUGGGUUCAACUUUUGUUGGGUCUGCCCCUCCCUUUCCAUUGUCUUUUUCAAGUAUUUGUAGUUUAAACUGCCACUUUGAGACGAGGGAGAAGGAAUGAAAUGUUCAAAGGUAAUAGGUUAUUCUAUUCAGUGCCUUAAUUAAUGCCAA